AUUGUGAACCUUACUACAACUACAAAUGAGCUACUAGAGAGAAAUCAUUAAUAGAAAGUAUUGGGAUAAAAUAUAUAUACAUGUUCUAGCUGUAUCACGAGACCGGACAUGCACGUAUCUUGAUAUCCUCUAAAGCCUGGUUCACAUUGAUCGGCGAUGUUCUACGAUCCAUUGUCUGUGAGCAACGAAGAAGAAAAUGCACAAAACAUUUUAUGCAUCAAUGACCACCGACAAUGGGCAUCGCCGAUGUUUACGAUCAAUGUGAACCAGGCUUAAAUCCAUUUUACG